rnacentral:rRNA from 1 species
GACGAACGCUGGCGGCGUGCUUAACACAUGCAAGUCGUGCGGUAAGGCCCUUUCUGGGGUACACGAGCGGCGCACGGGUGAGUAACACGUGCGCAACCUGCCCUUCACUUUGGGAUAACGGCCGGAAACGGUGGCUAAUACCGGAUAUGACUUCCUCACCCAUGUUGGGUGGUGGAAAGCUUUCGGGUGGUGGGGGAUGGGCUCGCGGUCUAUCAGCUUGUGGGUGGGGUGAUGGCCUACCAAGGCUUCGACGGGUAGCCGGCCUGGGCGGGUGACCGGCCAAGCUGGGACUGAGACACGGCCCAGACUACUACGGGAGGCAGCAGUGGGGAAUAUUGGACAAUGGGCGAAAGCCUGAUCCAGCAACGCCGCGUGAGGGAUGACGGCAUUCGGGUUGUAAACCUCUUUCGCCUGCGACGAAGCGAGAGUGACGGUAGCAGGUAAAGAAGCACCGGCUAACUACGUG